CUGGCGCUCAUUCUCGCUUUUGCUGCCCUGGGAAGUGGUGUCUUCUGCCAUGAUUGAAAGCCAUGAAGUAAGGUGAAUGCACAUGUUUAGGCUGAAAGGCAGUCUUCUGUCUGGUUCUCUACAGCUCUCCUCUCCCCCAUCCAGAGACCUCGGAGAGCUGUCUUGGCCCUUCUACCACCUGAGACACAGUGAGAAGAGCUGUCUGUGAACCAGGAAGAGGGCCCUCACCAGACACCAAAUCUGCUGGCACCUUGAUCUGGGACUUCUCAGCUUCUCAAACGAUGAGAAAUACAUGUAUGUUGUUUAUAAGUCACCUAGUGUAUGGUAUUUUCUUACAGCAGCCAGGGAUGGACUAAGACAACUGCCAGCCUUUCUCUUGUAUGUAUGAAUAAACACUUUUCAAAAUAAUGACAGGGAAUUAUUCUGAAAUAUUAUUUCCUAACCUGCUUUUCACUUCACAGAUGGUAAUAAUUUUCUUUUCUGUUUUUUUGUUUGUUUGUUUGUUUUUGUUUUCUUUUUUUUUUUGAGAUGGAGUCUAGCUCUGUCACCCAGGCUGGAAUUCAGUGGCGUGAUCUUGGCUCACUGCAACCUCCGCCUCCCGGGUUCAAGUGAUUCUCCUGCCUCAGCCUCCCAAGUUACUGAGAUUACAGACGUCCACCACCACAUCCAGGGUUGCGUGUCAGUUACAGUUGUCAUUUGUAAGCAGUAGAAUCCGGUCUGACCAGUUUAAGCAGAAAAGAACUUAGGAGAGACAGAAGGGAGUUCACACAACGUUUGGGACAGAUGGGAAAAGAGGCCUGAGACAAUGAAAGGGACACUCCCAGAACCAACUGACCCUUUCCGGAAUCUGCUGCCCACCCCGGGACCACACCGCCUUUGCCCAGAAUGCGCCACUGAAAUGACAGCGGCUCCCGGAGACGCGCAGCCAGCCAGCUCCCUCCCGCGGCCCGAGGCCCCCGUGUCUGAUUGGCAGGCCUGGUCACGUGCCCGCAUUUUGGCUGGGAAAGAGUCAGGGAAGGCACCGAUUCAGAUUCUCCCUUGGGGAAACAACUAAAAUGCACGCAAGGUGGCCUAAAAAGCUUGGCAGAUUCACUUUGGGCCAUAAAGAUAUUCUUCAAACUUAAAAAUAAAAAAAUAAAAAUAAAAGAAACUAAACUAAAAAAUAUCUUCAUGAACAACAUACAGUUAUGCUUUGUCUUAUUUAAAAAUUUUCCAUACAUAGAAUUAUGAUAUUCACAUUCGAUGAAAUUUUGCAUUCAAGAUGUGGUUGAGGUCUCACGUCUCAGUAGUGUUUAGUUGCG
rnacentral:lncRNA from 10 species